rnacentral:rRNA from 1 species
UUACACAUGCAGUCGACGGUAGCACAGAGAGCUUGCUCUCGGGUGACGAGUGGCGGACGGGUGAGUAAUGUCUGGGAAACUGCCUGAUGGAGGGGGAUAACUACUGGAAACGGUAGCUAAUACCGCAUAACGUCGCAAGACCAAAGAGGGGGACCUUCGGGCCUCUUGCCAUCAGAUGUGCCCAGAUGGGAUUAGCUAGUAGGUGGGGUAACGGCUCACCUAGGCGACGAUCCCUAGCUGGUCUGAGAGGAUGACCAGCCACACUGGAACUGAGACACGGUCCAGACUCCUACGGGAGGCAGCAGUGGGGAAUAUUGCACAAUGGGCGCAAGCCUGAUGCAGCCAUGCCGCGUGUAUGAAGAAGGCCUUCGGGUUGUAAAGUACUUUCAGCGGGGAGGAAGGUGUUGUGGUUAAUAACCACAGCAAUUGACGUUACCCGCAGAAGAAGCACCGGCUAACUCCGUGCCAGCAGCCGCGGUAAUACGGAGGGUGCAAGCGUUAAUCGGAAUUACUGGGCGUAAAGCGCACGCAGGCGGUCUGUCAAGUCGGAUGUGAAAUCCCCGGGCUCAACCUGGGAACUGCAUUCGAAACUGGCAGGCUGGAGUCUUGUAGAGGGGGGUAGAAUUCCAGGUGUAGCGGUGAAAUGCGUAGAGAUCUGGAGGAAUACCGGUGGCGAAGGCGGCCCCCUGGACAAAGACUGACGCUCAGGUGCGAAAGCGUGGGGAGCAAACAGGAUUAGAUACCCUGGUAGUCCACGCCGUAAACGAUGUCGAUUUGGAGGUUGUGCCCUUGAGGCGUGGCUUCCGGAGCUAACGCGUUAAAUCGACCGCCUGGGGAGUACGGCCGCAAGGUUAAAACUCAAAUGAAUUGACGGGGGCCCGCACAAGCGGUGGAGCAUGUGGUUUAAUUCGAUGCAACGCGAAGAACCUUACCUGGUCUUGACAUCCACAGAACUUAGCAGAGAUGCUUUGGUGCCUUCGGGAACUGUGAGACAGGUGCUGCAUGGCUGUCGUCAGCUCGUGUUGUGAAAUGUUGGGUUAAGUCCCGCAACGAGCGCAACCCUUAUCCUUUGUUGCCAGCGGUUAGGCCGGGAACUCAAAGGAGACUGCCGUGAUAACUGGAGGAAGGUGGGGAUGACGUCAAGUCAUC